AGUGAACGCUGGCGGUAGGCCUUACACAUGCAAGUCGAACGGCAGCACAGUAAGAGCUUGCUCUUACGGGUGGCGAGUGGCGGACGGGUGAGGAAUACAUCGGAAUCUACUUUUUCGUGGGGGGUAACGUAGGGAAACUUACGCUAAUACCGCAUACGACCUACGGGUGAAAGCAGGGGAUCUUCGGACCUUGCGCGAUUGAAUGAGCCGAUGUCGGAUUAGCUAGUUGGCGGGGUAAAGGCCCACCAAGGCGACGAUCCGUAGCUGGUCUGAGAGGAUGAUCAGCCACACUGGAACUGAGACACGGUCCAGACUCCUACGGGAGGCAGCAGUGGGGAAUAUUGGACAAUGGGCGCAAGCCUGAUCCAGCCAUACCGCGUGGGUGAAGAAGGCCUUCGGGUUGUAAAGCCCUUUUGUUGGGAAAGAAAAGCAGCAGGUUAAUACCCCGCUGUUCUGACGGUACCCAAAGAAUAAGCACCGGCUAACUUCGUG
rnacentral:rRNA from 1 species